UUACCCCUACGGGGCGCAGCAGUGGGGAAUAUUGCACAAUGGGGGAAACCCUGAUGCAGCAACGCCGCGUGAGUGAAGAAGUAUUUCGGUAUGUAAAGCUCUAUCAGCAGGGAAGAAGAUGACGGUACCUGACCAAGAAGCCCCGGCUAACUACGUGCCAGCAGCCGCGGUAAUACGUAGGGGGCAAGCGUUAUCCGGAUUUACUGGGUGUAAAGGGAGCGCAGACGGCAG
rnacentral:rRNA from 1 species